rnacentral:rRNA from 1 species
CAACAGGGAUUGCCUUAGUAACGGCGAGUGAAGCGGCAAAAGCUCAAAUUUGAAAUCUGGCACCUUCGGUGUCCGAGUUGUAAUUUGAAGAAGGUAACUUUGGAGUUGGCUCUUGUCUAUGUUCCUUGGAACAGGACGUCACAGAGGGUGAGAAUCCCGUGCGAUGAGAUGCCCAAUUCUAUGUAAAGUGCUUUCGAAGAGUCGAGUUGUUUGGGAAUGCAGCUCUAAGUGGGUGGUAAAUUCCAUCUAAAGCUAAAUAUUGGCGAGAGACCGAUAGCGAACAAGUACAGUGAUGGAAAGAUGAAAAGAACUUUGAAAAGAGAGUGAAAAAGUACGUGAAAUUGUUGAAAGGGAAGGGCUUGAGAUCAGACUUGGUAUUUUGCGAUCCUUUCCUUCUUGGUU